UACGUAGGGUGCGAGCGUUAAUCGGAAUUACUGGGCGUAAAGCGUGCGCAGGCGGUUCGUUGUGUCGGCGGUGAAAGCCCCGGGCUUAACCUGGGAAUGGCCGUUGAAACUGGCGAACUGGAGUGUGGCAGAGGGGGGUGGAAUUCCGCGUGUAGCAGUGAAAUGCGUAGAUAUCGUGAGGAACACCAGAGGCGAAGGCGGUUACCUGGACAGUUACUGAUGCUCAGGCACGAAAGCGUGGGGAGCAAAAGGG
rnacentral:rRNA from 1 species